rnacentral:rRNA from 1 species
UACGGGGGAUGCAAGUGUUAUCCGGAAUCACUGGGCGUAAAGCGUCUGCAGGUGGUUUUCUAAGUCCACUGUUAAACCUUGAGGCUCAACCUCAAAUCUGCAUUGGAAACUAGGAGACUUGAGUAUAGUAGGGGUAGAGGGAAUUUCCAGUGGAGCGGUGAAAUGCGUAGAUAUUGGAAAGAACACCGAUGGCGAAGGCACUCUACUGGGCUAUUACUGACACUCGAGAGACGAAAGCUAGGGGAGCAAAUGGG